GUGGGGAAUAUUGGGCAAUGGGCGAAAGCCUGACCCAGCAACGCCGCGUGAGGGAAGAAGGUUUUCGGAUUGUAAACCUCUGUCCUUGGUGACGAACACAAUGACGGUAGCCAAGGAGGAAGCCCCGGCUCACUACGUGCCAGCAGCCGCGGUAAUACGUAGGGGGCAAGCGUUGUCCGGAAUGACUGGGCGUAAAGGGCGUGUAGGCGGCCGAUUAAGUCUGGAGUGAAAGUCCUGCUUUCAAGGUGGGAAUUGCUUUGGAGACUGGUUGGCUUGAGUGCGGAAGAGGCAAGUGGAAUGCCCAGUGUAGCGGUGAAAUGCGUAGAGAUGGGGAGGAACACCAGUGGCGAAGGCGACUUGCUGGGCCGUAACUGACGCUGAGGCGCGAAAGCGUGGGGAGCGAACAGGAUUAGAUACCCGGGUAGUCC
rnacentral:rRNA from 1 species